CCUAAAUGCCACUAAAUUCUACACACUAAACAUCUGUGCCAUCUGUUGCAGGAGAAGGACUUCAUAUCAGCUAUGUGAUCGGUGGAGUUCUGACCAUCCUGGCUAUUCUGAUCCUCAUCGCUGCUUUGAUAAUUUACAGACAUAAAAAGUCAAAGUUUGCCGACCCUGGAGUGAGCAACCUGACCUACAGCAAUCCCUCAUACCGGACAUCCACACAAGAGGUCAAGAUCGAGGCGUCGCAAAAGCCUCCAAUAUACAACCAGCUUCGAUAUAAGAAAGAGCUCUCUCAUCCCUACAACUCCCUCUCUCCCUUUAUCUUUUGACCCACUUGUCCCGUGGAGAGGUAGUUACACAGCAUGGAGGAGUUGUGUCCUCUGCCGCUUCUCUGUUUUCCUUCACUUCUUCUGUCCGUCACUGCAUGCAACCUGCUAUUCAAAACUAUUUCUCUCUUUGGUGCAGUUUCAGAGCUCUGCGAUCAGAAGCAUGUCAGUGUUUAUAACUACUUAUGGGGUUUGUGUGAAACUGACAUUUCAGCAGGCCGAGAAUCAAAGUGUGAUGUGCUACAUGUAAAUAUCAUUAUGUCAUUCUCAAAUCAAUGAUGAAGCCUUGAAAAAAAUAUUAACAACUAACAGUGCAGGCAGUUGGUAGGCUCCAUGUCAGAACUGUGCAAUACUGGGGUCACGGGUCACGUAGCUGCUCCAGCUGCAGGUAUAUGACUUGCAUUUCCUGGUUGCAACGACAGCGCAGAGACACUAAAGCCACGUUUCCACCAAGCAGUACAUUAUGGUACAGUUCAGUUCAGUUCAGUUCAGU